rnacentral:lncRNA from 1 species
GGAGAGGGGCGGGGCUAGCGGCGAGGGCAGGGGCGGGGCCGAACGCGAGCUCCCCUGGGCCGGCCAGGCAGGUCGGGCCCCGCCUCGGCUCGGGCCCCGCCCGCGCUCCCCCGAGUGCGCGGGUUGGGGGGCGGGGGAGCCCAGGAGCGGCGCGGCUCCGCCACCGGCUGACGCACCGUCGGAAAGUUGCGCUCCGACCUUCUCCCACCUCGUACUUUCUUACCGGGGCGCCGCUGUAGACUUGGAGCUGGGUGGGGAGGACCCGGGCCGAGGCGUGAGAGCGGCCGCCGGCCGGGGCGCAGAGCGGACUGUCCCGGUCCCGGCGAGGAGUCCGCUCCCCCUUCCUCGCGGUGCCCAGCGCGGUGGUGGCACAAACUUUCUGGACUGUCCCCGGACAGCCCUGGCGAGUCCCGCAGCGGGCCGGGAGGAGGAGCCGCGGCCGCUGACAGAUUUUGGAAGUCUUCUUCUGGAAGUUGCGAGCAGUGCCAAGUGUUGGAGAAAUCUUUUCUGCCCCUCUGAUAGAGUGAAGUGAGCAAACACAACCUAGCAGAAGGCUCGUGAAGAGAGCGCUCACAGGUAAUGUCGUCUUUUCUUAUUACUAUUGAGAUGUGUUCAGUAAUGUUCAGUAAUAAACUUAAAAAAAAGUAAGCCUACUUGAAUUUACACAUCCAAGUGUUGACAGAAGAAAAAUGCACAACCUGGAAGUUUCGAGUUAAGUUUUAUUCAGGGACCUUACUGAGGACUAUAGGCCAGGAGACAGCCUCUCAGAUACCUCUGAGGAGCUGCUCCAGAGAGUUUAGGGAGGAGCCAGGAUGCAUAGGCGUAUUGGGCUGGAACAAACAUGUAGUUGAACAUCAAAAGAUAACUGCUAAUCACAAAAACAGACAUUGCAAGUUAAUGAUUUUAAUGCUUUUCUAUGUAUGGGGAGAGGUAAGAAUCUGGGCUGAAUGAAAUUAUUCCUUAGAUAUGCAUCUUAACUAUCUAGGGCCAGUAUCCAAAGCACAGAAUGCUUCCUGUUUUUCUCUAUCCUGAGUUCCCCUCAGGGCGUACCACCAGUGGUGGUGGGGUGGGAUGCUGCACCGGCUGAUGGCUUGGUCCUUGUUUACUAGAAUGGCAGCAACAUUCUUUGUUUACUGGAAUGGCAGGCAACAUUGCCUGUCCACAGAGGUGAACAUUAUCUUGUUCAAAGCAGUGUUUCUGAGAGGCUACACUCUCUCCUCUUCUCAAAACAUUUAAACAUUUUUUCUUUGGGAACUGCAUCUUGAUCCUCUGGUAGCAUGCUUUUAAACAUCCUAUUUUCUUUCUUUAAAAAAAAAAAUUAAUUUUUGGCUGUGUUGGGUCUUCGUUGCCGCACACGGGCUUUCUCUAGUUGCGGCGAGUGGGGACUACUCUUCGUUGUGGUGCACGGGCUUCUCAUUGCGGUGGCUUCUUUUGUUGUGGAGCAGGGGCUCUAGGCAUGCGGGCUCAGUAGUUGUGGCUCGCGGGCUCUAGAGCGCAGGCUCAGUAGUUGUGGCGCAUGGGCUUAGUUGCCCCGCGGCAUGUGGGAUCUUCCCGGACCAGGGCUCGAACCCGUGUCUGCUGCAUUGGCAGGUGGAUUCUUAACCAGCUGUGCCACCAGGGAAGUCCCUAUUUUCUUUCUUUUUAAACUACAUUGGAAUAUAGCCGAUUAACAAUGUUGUGAUAGUUUCAGGUGCACAGCAAAGCGACUUGGCCAUACAUAAACAUGUAUCUAAACAUCCUAUUUUCUGUGGUGGCAAAUCUCAACCCUGUGAGGGUGUAUUUGGGAAGUAAUCUAAAUGUCUUCAGAGCUACGGAAUCUGGGGAGUUCUAAUUUUGAUCAGGAGCAAUAACGUAAUGAAACCAGUUUCUCUUUUUAUAAUUGUAUAUGUGUUUGAAGGCUUAUACACUGUAUUGAAAGUUAAUUCUCGAAAGAGGUGACUCUAAGUUUCAAGCAAUGGUAGUCUUGUUAAAAUAAGUGAUUAGACUUGUAGUUUACAGAGAAGCAUAUGCUAUUUAUUUGUAUGUAAAUGUUGGUAUUCUUUCUUAUUAAAAUUGAUCAAUCAGUCUAUCUGUCAGUAUUGUAGAAAGGAUUCCUGUGUUUAUCAGGUUGAAUAAGAUGAGAUUUAACUUCCUCAUAAGGUAUACCUCUAAGGCACUGUAAUUAGCAUCUUAUUAGAGGUGCGUUUUGCAUUGUUUCUCAAAGCCUUGUUACAGUGCUUGUUAAAAAGCACAUUGAAAAUACAAAUUAGUAGGCCACCAUCUAGUGUAUCAGAAUCUGAAUCAGAGUGCUAGGGGGAAGGGUUUGGGAAUCUGCGUUUUACAAGUAAAUACCACCCAAGGUUGACACCCCCAAUGCAAUAAAAGCAUACUUGUACUUAAUCUUUGUAUUUUUGGUUUUAAAGGUGUUGUAAUCACCUUAAUUUUUGCUUUGAAUAAAACAGUGCCAGUAUUUUUAGUAUACUGUUGUGACACAGGGUUAUGUUCUCAAAUAGCUUAUUAUUAGAUCAAAUUAAGAAUGUAACUGAAUAAAGCUAUACUUUGAACUUUAUGUCUAAAUUCAAAAUGGAUACAUUUUUCAUUGGAUGCAAUUAGAUAAAUCUGUUUUUUAACCUCUAGAUGCUGAAUACUAAGUUUUUUGAAAUAUUUUUAUGAAAUAUCUUCUUAAUUUGCCAGUAAGUCGUACGUCAGAUAUCUUAUUCAGAUGGAGGGUAAAGAGUAACGGGGUAGUGUCGUGGUCCGAACGCGGGUUGGAAAAGAAUUUCCAGACACAAGGCAGAAUGUAAAGAAGAUAGAAUUUAUUAGAGAGAAGGGUCACUGCCAGAUCAGCGGGCUGACUUCCUAGUGGUCUGGGAGAGUCGAGCCCAAACAUGUGCUAUUGAUCAGUUUUUAUAGCCAGAAAAUAAAAGAAUGGUCCAAGGUGAAAAUUUCGUUUACUGAUUGGUUGAGGCACAUAUACCUUCCUUCUAUAGGGUGG